rnacentral:misc_RNA from 1 species
AACUUUUAGCAACGGAUCACUUGGCUCGCGCAUCGAUGAAGAACGCAGCGAAACGCGAUAGGUAAUGUGAAUUACAGAAUUCAGUGAAUCAUCGAAUCUUUGCACGCAUAUUGCGCUCGUUGGUAUUCCGACGAGCAUGCCUGUUUGAGUGUCAUGAAAUAUAUCAACCUUGACUUGGGUCUCAGUGCCCUUGGUUCGGCUUGUAAUUUGGUGCUUGCGGUGCUUCGGUACCGCUCACCUCAAAAGGAUUAGCUGGACAUGUCGUGAGACUUGGUUCUACUUGGCGUAAUAAGUAUUUCGCUGAGGACAUCCCUUUACUGGGAUGGCCAUGCCUCGGUUGACAAGCGUCUGCUUUCUAACUCUCACAAGUUCCCACUCCAGGGACGGUGAACACUUUUUAUGAUCUGGCCUCAAAUCAGGUAGGACUACCCGCUGAGCUUAAGCAUAUCAAUAAGCGGAGGCU